CGCAACCGUCAUCAUCAUCACUACCAGCAUUGUCAACAUCAUCACGACCAUCAUCACCACCAACAACAACAACAGGAACGACAUCGUAUUUGCUGUCGUCGACGCCACCGCCCACCGACCAACAACACUCUCAAACUUACAGUUCGCAGGGGGUAUGUAUCAUCAUCUGUCAUAGCAAUGAAUUGAUGAACCAAACAGAACCUAUUGAUGAUUCCAAGUUAUUAAACUGAAAGGAUUUUAGAACUUGACAAAAAAAUAUUUCCAAAAUUUAUAAGCAAGUUUGAAGAAAACAACAAAAAAAA